GACGAACGCUGGCGGCGUGCUUAACACAUGCAAGUCGAACGGAAAGGCCCUGCUUUUGUGGGGUGCUCGAGUGGCGAACGGGUGAGUAACACGUGAGUAACCUGCCCGUGACUUUGGGAUAACUUCAGGAAACUGGGGCUAAUACCGGAUAGGAGCUCCUGCUGCAUGGUGGGGGUUGGAAAGUUUCGGCGGUUGGGGAUGGACUCGCGGCUUAUCAGCUUGUGGGUGGGGUAGUGGCUUACCAAGGCUUUGACGGGUAGCCGGCCUGAGAGGGUGACCGGCCACAUUGGGACUGAGAUACGGACCAGACUCGUACGGGAGGCAGCAGUGGGGAAUAUUGCACAAUGGGCGGAAGCCUGAUGCAGCAACGCCGCGUGCGGGAUGAAGGCCUUCGGGUUGUAAACCGCUUUCGCCUGUGACGAAGCGUGAGUGACGGUAAUGGGUAAAGAAGCACCGGCUAACUACGUG
rnacentral:rRNA from 1 species